UACGUAGGGGGCGAGCGUUGUCCGGAAUCAUUGGGCGUAAAGAGCGUGUAGGCGGCCCGGUAAGUCCGCUGUGAAAGUCCAGGGCUCAACCCUGGGAUGCCGGUGGAUACUGUCGGGCUCGAGUCCGGAAGAGGAGUGUGGAAUUCCUGGUGUAGCGGUGAAAUGCGCAGAUAUCAGGAAGAACACCCGUGGCGAAAGCGGCUCUCUGGAACGGUACUGACGCUGAGACGCGAAAGCGUGGGGAGCGAACAGG
rnacentral:rRNA from 1 species